rnacentral:rRNA from 1 species
CCUACGGGAGGCUGCAGUGAGGAAUAUUGGUCAAUGGGAGAGAUCCUGAACCAGCCAAGCCGCGUGAGGGAAGACGGCCCUAUGGGUUGUAAACCUCUUUUGUCGGAGAACAAAACCCGGGACGUGUCCCGGACUGCGUGUAUCCGAAGAAAAAGCAUCGGCUAACUCCGUGCCAGCAGCCGCGGUAAUACGGAGGAUGCGAGGGUUAUCCGGGUUUAGUGGGUUUAAAGGGUGCGUAGGCGGUCCGUUGAGUCAGCGGUAAAAUGGCGGGGCUCAACCCCGUCGAGCCGUUGAAACUGGCGGACUUGAGUUGGCGAGAAGUACGCGGAAUGCGCGGUGUAGCGGUGAAAUGCAUAGAUACCGCGCAGAACUCCGAUUGCGAAGGCAGCGUACCGGCGCCAGACUGACGCUGAGGCACGAAAGCGUGGGGAUCGAACAGGAUUAGAUACCCAUGUAGUC